rnacentral:SRP_RNA from 1 species
UGCUGGGUCCUACGCAGUAGGCCCUGUGAACCCCGUCAGGUCCGGAAGGAAGCAGCGGCAGCAGUUCGUUUACGUGCCGUAGGUUAACCCAGCACCU